rnacentral:rRNA from 1 species
CCUACGGGGUGCAGCAGUGGGGAAUAUUGCGCAAUGGGCGAAAGCCUGACGCAGCGACGCCGCGUGAGGGAUGAAGGUCUUCGGAUCGUAAACCUCUGUCAGCAGGGAAGAACGGUCACUGUGCUAAUCAGCAGUGAAUUGACGGUACCUGCAAAGGAAGCACCGGCUAACUCCGUGCCAGCAGCCGCGGUAAUACGGAGGGUGCGAGCGUUAAUCGGAAUUACUGGGCGAAAAGCGCUCGUAGGCGGUAUGUCAAGUCAAUGGUGAAAUCCCCGCGCUCAACGUGGGAACUGACUUUGAAACUGGCAAACUGGAGUGUGUGAGAGGAUAGUGGAAUUCCAGGUGUAGGAGUGAAAGCCGUAGAUAUCUGGAGGAACAUCAGUGGCGAAGGCGACUAUCUGGCACAUAACUGACGCUGAGGAGCGAAAGCGUGGGUAGCAAACAGGAUUAGAUACCCUUGUAGUC